rnacentral:ncRNA from 1 species
UCCUGGCCUUAUUCUCAACUAUUACACAACUUACACAUGCAAGUAUCCGCACACCCGUGAGAACGCCCUCCCCCCUCUUAAUGCAGGACGAGGAGCCGGUAUCAGGCACGAACGAUUUCGCCCAUGACACCUAGCUACGCCACACCCCCAAGGGCAUUCAGCAGUGAUAAAUAUUGUCAAUCAGCGCCAGCUUGACUCAGUUAAAGUAAUUAAGAGCCGGCCAAUUCGGUGCCAGCCGCCGCGGCUACCCCGCUCGGCCCAAGUUGACAUUACUCGGCGUUAAGCGUGAUUAAAGUAAAACCCAUAUUAAAAUCAAACUUUAACCCAGUUGUUAAAUACUUGCUAUUAAGAAGCCCCCGAACGAAAGUCAUUUUAAAACACUUGAACCCACGACAGUUGGGGCACAAACUGGGAUCAGAUACCCCACUAUGCCCAACCGUAAAAUAUUAAUUUACACCACAACCCGCCAGGGAAUUACGAGCCCAAUCUUAAAACCCAAAGGACUUGACGGUGUCCCACCCACCUAGAGGAGCCUGUUCUAUAAUCGACACCCCCCGAUACACCUCACCACUUCUAGCAUAUCAGUCUGUAUACCUCCGUCAUAAGCCUACCAUGUGAACGCUAAAGUGGGCCAAAAGAUCCCCCCAUCAAUACGUCAGGUCAAGGUGCAGCUUACGAAGUGGAAAGCAAUGGGCUACAAUUUCUAACCAUAGAACACACGAAAGAACUGCAUGCAAUACAGUUUCAGAAGGUGGAUUUAGCAGUAAAAAGAAAAUAGAGUGUUCUUUUUAACCCGGCGCUGGGACGCGUACACACCGCCCGUCACCCUCUUCAAGUACCACCCGUAUCAAGAAGAGGCAAGUCGUAACACGGUAAGUGUACUGGAAAGUGCACUUGGACAACAAAAUGUAGCUUAUCUAAAGCAUCCCGCCUACACCGGGAUAGAUGUCCGCAAAAAGACCAUUUUGAGCCAGAUCUUUCAGCCCGACUAACUUUCCCACAUUGAUACUAUAAAAUAAAACAUUCUUCCCAUCAAGUAUAGGCGAUUAAAAAAUGACUAGGGGCCAUAAAGACAGUACCGCAAGGGAAACAUGAAAUAAAAAUGAAAAAUCAAAGCACAACAUAGCAAAGCUUCAACCUUGUACCUUUUGCAUCAUGGUCUAGCUAGUUUAACCCAGCAAAACGCACUUAAAGUUCGACCCCCCGAAACUAGGCGAGCUACUUUUAAACAGCCUCAUGGGGCCAACCCGUCUCCGUAGUAAAGGAGUGGGAAGAUUUAAAAGUAGAGGUGACACACCUAUCGAGCUUAGAGAUAGCUGGUUAUUUAGGAAACGGAUUUAAGUCCACCUUUAAGUUUUUUCCUGUACUUCAAACACCCAAUAGACUUAAAAGCCAUUCAAAUAAGGUACAGCCUAUUUGAAUAGGGAGACAGCCCCCGAUACAGGGUAACACUUACCUUUAUGUGACCAGGUGGGCCUAAAAGCAGCCAACCUCCAAAAAGCGUCCAAGCUUCACCAUUAAACCGUUAAUAAUUCCACAAUUAGCUUUUAACCCGCAACCACUACUAAAUAACCCCAUAUACAUUAUGCGGAAUAUCAUGCUAGAACUAGUAACAAGAAUAAGAACUUCUCCUAAGUAUAAGCGUAAGCCAAAAUGAACUACUCAUUGGCACUUACCGCCACUAAGUCUGCAGUAGUAACCCCCCCCCCACAAGAAAACCCUACUCACCACGGCGUUAACCUAACACUAGAAUAUUGCAGGAAAGAUUAAAAGGGCGAGAAGGAACUCGGCAAAUAUUAGCUCCGCCUGUUUACCAAAAACACCGCCUCUUGAAUAACAUAAGAGGUCUAGCCUGCCCAGUGACAAAUGUUAAACGGCCGCGGAACCCUAACCGUGCGAAGGUAGCAUAAUCACUUGUUCUUUAAAUCAGGACUAGUAUGAACGGCCUCACGAGAGCUAUACUGUCUCCUCCCCCUAAUCAGUGAAACUGAUCUCCCCGUGAAGAAGCGGGUAUAGUUUAAUAAGACGAGAAGACCCCAUGGAGCUUUAAACUUGCACCACUGCCUUAUAUACACCAAAUACCUCAGGCAACAUGGCAGCUAGUCUUUCGGCUGGGGCGACCACGGAAAAAAACAAAACCUCCGUGAUGAAAGGACACUCCUAAUCAAAGAACCACUAUUCUAAGAAUCAACAAAUUGACAUAAUUGACCCAAACAUUUUUGAUCAACGAACCAAGUUACCCUGGGGAUAACAGCGCAAUCCAUUUCGAGAGACCCCAUCAACAAAUGGGCUUACGACCUCGAUGUUGGAUCAGGGUAUCCUAGUGGUGCAGCCGCUACUAAAGGUUCG